ensembl:lncRNA
GGCGCAAGGGACGCCGCCGCCGCCGCAGCGCGAGACGAGGCCGCAGCACGAGACCGGGACGUGACAGUGCCGUCGGCCUACGCGGACGUGGGGACGGGCCGGCCCUGCAUGCUGGCGACAUGUUGGGCAAAGGAAGCGUCUGGGUGCCCAACCGUACCUGCGAGGGUGAUGUCCAAACAGACGCAGGCCAUAGUGGACACUGGCAGCAUGGUCACCCUCCUCCGGCCCGACCUGGCGGGGGGAAGGGAAGGGUCACCAAUGGAGGUGACAUGCGUACACGGGGACACACGAACAUACAAGACCUGCCACGUGGUCGUCCGGACACCACAGGGGGUUUUCACAGCUAGGGCAGGGGUCGUGCCACACCUCCCGGUGCCGAUCCUAAUUGGGAGGGACUGCCCGAUUCUCCGUCGGCUUUGGGACCCUGCGCUGGAGUCCCGGGUCCGAAGAGAUGCGGUCGCCGCCGCGGCAGGAGGUGCAGCCGCCGCCGCCGCGGCAGGAGGUGCAGCCGCCGCCGCCGCGGCAGGAGGUGCAGCCGCCGCCGGCGCGACAGGGGGUGCAGCCGCCGCCGGCGCGGCAGGAGAUGCGGCCGGCGCCGCUGCGAGAGGUGCGGCCGGCACCGCCGCCGCCGCUACCGCGAGGGACGCAGCCGGCGCCGCAGGAGACACCCGGCCCCGGCGAGAUACCAUCCUGGGCGGGUCCCUCGGCUACCUGGGGCUUGGACAAAGGGUGGAGGAGUGUGGCAUCCCGCCACGUGGUCCUCGGCCUGGACGGGCCCGGGGUACCGUGGAGGACGGGGUUUACCACCCCCACCCACCAGCCGGCGAUAGAGAGCAGCCCUUUCGGCACCCCAAUCAGGGUGAUUGGGGGACACCUGGCCGAAA